GAGCUUCGGCCUUGAUUUUUUCUGCGCCCUCAAGCAGGUCAGUGGCAGAAACGUACAGGGUGUGUACAAAAUCAGGGGUUUAGCAAAUACAUUUUGGCAAGCGGAAUUGAGUGAAGACUGAAGAAGCCCGUUCAUGUGGGAAGUUUACCUCAAGCUUUUUACUAGUGGGUCUUGUCUAAGAUACAUAUUUCCGAAAUGCAUACUCUACGGUCAUUUUGUCGGUCGUUGAUUUGUUGUUUAGUUUAGACAUUGAGAAUGCAAGUGGCGAAGCAAGCUGUAAUCGAUUGAACGCUUUAUUUUGACUUGUUCAAUGCUUCAAAUAUAUUAUUUCACUUUUUGAGGACUUUUAUGGUCAUCUUUUGAUAAAUUUGUAGGCUCCCGCUAAGUUGCAGGUAUUGUUGGUAACAGCCAACUGAGCUGAACUGUUAGAUUUGAUGAUAGAAAUCCAACGGUGAUAAUAGAUUGUCAAAAUAAAAGUGCAACCGGAUGAAAAGGUUUUAUAAAAAGAAAUCAACUUGCUUCUUUUCUUCCUAUCUCUCUCUCCACGCUAGCGGACUAUUUUUUGAUUUGCCACAGAAAUGUAGCAAAAAUUUGGAAUUAUGCACAAACUUUUCACACCCAAAAUUAUGUUUGAAAAAUUCCCACAGGAAAUUGUUAAGGUUAUUAAUGAUGAUGUCAAAAUUUCUUUGUCCCGAAAGAUUGUCCACUGUAAGCAUAAGUUUGUGUUGAAGAAUGAUUGUUUAUAAUGAAAUAAUUAUUUCAUACGUACAAGAGUUAAUAAUAAUUCCUAUCCAUCAGUUUGCACUGCUGGUAUAACGAGCCAUGUACAGGUUUCUCCUAGUCGAAAUCUAGCAUCGGUUUUUCUCUUUCCCUCUCUUUGGUAUUAGAGCACCUCUUUUGUUCUUAUUUUAAAUAUUUUUUAUAUGAGUAAUUACAAGACAUACUUCAUUUGUUGCAUGAUAUUUUUCUACAAUUGCUAAUUUUGACCAAAAUCUUGACAGUUAUUAUAAAAAUCCUUUUACUGUAUUAGAAAAAAACACUGAUAGUUGGAUAGACAACAACCCUUUCUGAGAAAUUUUAGAAAGUGCUUUACAAAUUGUAGAAAACGAAUUAAAUAGAAUUAGUAUUGAACAAGUAUUUUUAGACACUUUAAUAGAAGAAAGAUUAGGCAGUUUAAAGCUCCCAGUAGAUUACACAUCUCCUUUACCACCUAAAAUAGAAAGAAAAAUAAAUAUUACACAUUACACUUUCACAAAUUUACCAGUAUUUAAUUUUAGAAGAAAUAAUUUGCAAUAUUAUAAUAUAAAUGAAAAAAUAGAUUAUUAGACAAAUACGAGAAUUUAGCAUUAAAAAUUAGGAAUAAGUUAGAAGAUCUAGAAAAUUAGUUUAUGAAUUUUCAAUGAUUAGAUUAUUUAGACUUAGAAAUUAGCCAUCAUAAAAAGUAAAAAUUAAAUUUGACAGAAGGAAUAAAAAUUAGUUGUAAUAUCGAUUACUUAGAAAACCAAUAUAAACAUAUUCCACACACUAGUAAUAGUCAACAAAAUUUUAUAGUAGAUUUAUUAAUUAAUUUAGGACAACAUCUAGAAGUCAAUAUAGAAAGGCUAAAAGAGUUAGUACUAGGACUAGGCAAAUUCUACGAGACAAGUAAUAUAAAUACAUUAAGAAGAAAUUUAGAUUUCAUUAAAGAUUUACUAAAAGAUUUUAAUAGUCAAGUUAAAAGAUUCCCUAGCAAGAAAGAAAUAGUAGAUUUAAUUCAAUUAUUAGACAUAAAAACACUUAAUCCCGUAGAAUUAGAAAUUAAACAAAUAGUAGAAAGUUUAAAAUUAGAGAUAGAAAAUAUUAAAUUUACACAAUGAGACUUACAAAUUCAAUUAGAUGCAAUAAAAAUAAGAGUUAGUGAAUGAGUUUAGAAAAAAUAUUAAUAGAAUCGUUAGCAGAAUUAAAAAGAGAAAUUUCACAUUUAAAUCCAGUAGGUUAUAGCUAUAGAGAAUUUAGUCAGGAGAGUAACAAUAUUCAACAAGCACAAGCUAGCACAAUAGUCAAAAUCAAUAAUAGACUAAAAGACUUAGACAAUAGGUUUAAUAGAUUAUAAAGUAAUUUUCAAACCGUUAGAAAAAACAAAGAAUCUGUAUCUCACCUAGAACUUAGCAGCAAUUUAGAUAACAUAGACAAAGAACUAGAAGCAUUAACAAACCAUGUACAAAAAUUAAAUUUAAGAGAACCAGUCUUAACAUGUAGGACAAUAGACAUUAAAGAUAUUUUAGGACCAAAAGUAAUAUUAAAAAGUAAUGGAUCUAGUAAGAAACAGUAGAGUAGACGUACACAUGACAGAAAGAAUUAGAAGGUCGCUCUCAUUUUCUAGUAAAGGUAAAGAAAUAAUAGAAAGAACCACUACUAGAAAAAUGGUCUUUUGUGACACUUGUCUUCUGACACUUUAUUAUAAAGUAUCAGUAAUUACAUGUAUUUAGGGCAUUUUCCGUGUUUAACAGAUAAGUAUCACAAAUUAUUAAUACUACGGUGUCAAUAAAUCAAAUAUCACAGAUUCGUGACACUAAAGUAUUAGUAGUUAAAAAAAUAAAAUUUUAAUUUUGUAUCUACUAAUAAUCGAACUGAAGACCUCUAAGCCAUAACCUUUUUAUUUUAACCGCUAUACCACUCGGCCACAAAUUGCAUUUUUGAACUUAUAAAUUAAUAAAUAAAUAAAUAUUAUAACUUAAAACCUAAAACCUAAAAAUCUUUCAUGUUCUGUGUGAAACCUAAAACCUAAAAAUUUUUGUUAAAGUAAAAAAUCUAUCUCACGGCCGCCGAAGCUUUCUUCCUUCUCUCUCCUUCCCUCUCUCUCGCUCUCUUUCUCUCUCUAACAAUGAUCUACCUUGAAAGCCGCCUUUGUCAAAACCUUGAAACCCGUCGUCCUUAAGCUAAAAUAUCCCUGAAAAGAACCCAGAAAGUGCUGUGAAGAAUUUGGGCAAAGCUAAGGUUUGAAAGUCCGAAUCAGUGUUGUGGUAACUCUUUGUCUCAUUCUCUAUUCUCAUUGUUUAAGUAUUUAUCUGUUAAUUGAUUGAUGUUUAUUGAGUGCAAAUGAGAGCUUGCACUUGUUUGGAAAUCUAGCCAUCUAGGGUUUUUGUUGCUUAUAAUCUAAUUUAUUGUUUAAUAAAAUAAAUAAAACGCAACUUUAUUAUAGGUGGAAUUCAGUUUAUUAAGUGAAAGAAUGAUUACAAUAAAUUUAAUAUAUAUUCAAACAUCUGCUGCAACUUUUAUAGUUUCAUAUGCAAUUUUGACAAAACUGUUCAUUAAUGUUUGAUCCUAUCAAACACCGGCCUAAUGAUAUCGGAAUAGCCUCAAAUUUUAAUAUGUUGUUGACUUAUAUGUCCACUUAAAAUCUGGAAAGUAUCAUUCUGAUAUAUUUAGUAUUUUAAAUUUAAUAUAUAUUCAAACAUCUGCUGCAACUUUUAUAGUUUCAUAUGCAAUUUUGACAAAACUGUUCAUUAAUGUUUGAUCCUAUCAAACACCGGCCUAAUGAUAUCGGAAUAGCCUCAAAUUUUAAUAUGUUGUUGACUUAUAUGUCCACUUAAAAUCUGGAAAGUAUCAUUCUGAUAUAUUUAGUAUUUUAAAUUUAAUAUAUAUUCAAACAUCUGCUGCAACUUUUAUAGUUUCAUAUGCAAUUUUGACAAAACUGUUCAUUAAUGUUUGAUCCUAUCAAACACCGGCCUAAUGAUAUCGGAAUAGCCUCAAAUUUUAAUAUGUUGUUGACUUAUAUGUCCACUUAAAAUCUGGAAAGUAUCAUUCUGAUAUAUUUAGUAUUUUAAAUUUAAUAUAUAUUCAAACAUCUGCUGCAACUUUUAUAGUUUCAUAUGCAAUUUUGACAAAACUGUUCAUUAAUGUUUGAUCCUAUCAAACACCGGCCUAAUGAUAUCGGAAUAGCCUCAAAUUUUAAUAUGUUGUUGACUUAUAUGUCCACUUAAAAUCUGGAAAGUAUCGUUAUGAUAUAUUUAGUAUUUUAAAUUUAAUAUAUAUUCAAACACCCACUGCUACUUUUACAGUUUCAUAUGCAAUUUGGACAGAAUUAUUCAUUAAUGUUUGAUCCUAUCAAACACCAGCCUAAUGAUAUCAGAAUAGCCUCAAAUUUUAAUAUGUUGUUGACUUAUAUGUCCACUUAAAAUCUGGAAAGUAUCAUUAUGAUAUAUUUAGUAUUUUAAAUUUAAUAUAUAUUCAAACACCUGCUGCUACUUUUAUAGUUUCAUAUGCAAUUUUAACUUAUAUAGUUUUAUCAUGUGAGAAGCAAAUGUAGAGUUGUCCAAAUGACUUGGAAAUUUGAUUUGUGGUGCAUUGACAUGUCUAAUUAUGUUUUGUUCAUAGCAUUCCAAAUUAAAUUAAAGAAAAUCUUAAAUUCAAGCUGUCAACGUUUCCUAUUAAAUCUGAUUAGUGAUAAAUCUACUAACUUGCAGUGCUUUUCAGGGAAAAAAAUGUGUCAACAUUGUGAAUUGCAACGAGAGAAGACAGUACCAAAGGCAUAAAUCUUUUUUCAUUAUAUUUGGGACUAUUCUUAAAGGUUAGUCUUUUCCUUUUUUUCUUUUUUAUUUAAGGUAAUCAUAUUCUUUUUAAUUUUACUUACAAUCAAUUUGGCGUUGUUAUACAACUCGCACCAACCAAUCAAUUUAUUAAUGUGACUAGAUGGAAGAUUGCCAUAUGUGGGGAAUAUAUGAAGUCAAGACUAAAGGUACAGCCAAGCCAUUUUGCUUUUGAUAUUAUAAUUGUGCGGCUUAUACACUUGCGCAUAUUUUAACAGACAUGCUCUCGUGGAAUGGCUUGCAAUUUUAUCCACUGUUUCCGCAACCCUGGCGGAGACUAUGAAUGGGCUGAUUGGGAUAAACCACCUCCAAGAUAUUGGGUGAAAAAGAUGGCUGCGUUAUUUGGUUAUUCUGAUGAAUCUGGGACUUGGAAUCAAGAACGCUAAGGACAAACGAGGAACAAGAUAGAUUCAACUAAUGCCGACAGGUAUGCUUUUAUUACUAGUCAUAGACACUAAAAACUGUACUUGGUAUAUAUGAACUCUUGUUUAUUUAAUUCACUUUCUGUUAUUUGAAUUUUUUUAGUUUAAACUUCCAUGUUUGACCGAUGAUUUUGAGAGGUUUCUUCAUAGUAUCGUUCUCUUCAUUUGUGUUUUCUUCANNNNNNNNNNNNNNNNNNNNNNNNNNNNNNNNNNNNNNNNNNNNNNNNNNNNNNNNNNNNNNNNNNNNNNNNNNNNNNNNNNNNNNNNNNNNNNNNNNNNNNNNNNNNNNNNNNNNNNNNNNNNNNNNNNNNNNNNNNNNNNNNNNNNNNNNNNNNNNNNNNNNNNNNNNNNNNNNNNNNNNNNNNNNNNNNNNNNNNNNNNNNNNNNNNNNNNNNNNNNNNNNNNNNNNNNNNNNNNNNNNNNNNNNNNNNNNNNNNNNNNNNNNNNNNNNNNNNNNNNNNNNNNNNNNNNNNNNNNNNNNNNNNNNNNNNNNNNNNNNNNNNNNNNNNNNNNNNNNNNNNNNNNNNNNNNNNNNNNNNNNNNNNNNNNNNNNNNNNNNNNNNNNNNNNNNNNNNNNNNNNNNNNNNNNNNNNNNNNNNNNNNNNNNNNNNNNNNNNNNNNNNNNNNNNNNNNNNNNNNNNNNNNNNNNNNNNNNNNNNNNNNNNNNNNNNNNNNNNNNNNNNNNNNNNNNNNNNNNNNNNNNNNNNNNNNNNNNNNNNNNNNNNNNNNNNNNNNNNNNNNNNNNNNNNNNNNNNNNNNNNNNNNNNNNNNNNNNNNNNNNNNNNNUUGUUCAUGAAACAACUUGGAGUCGGAGGCGCUCCAAUUAUCACAGUGAAAGCAGAAGUGAUGAGGCUAAUUCUGAUGGAAGUUGGUCAGAUAGGGACAGAGACUAAUUUUUAUGUAUUGAAUUUGGAUUAUUUAGUUAUGAGAGUAGGAUAUCUCAUAUUUUGGCUAUUGAAGUUGAAUUUGUAAUAUAUACUAAUAAUAUUUAAAUGUGAAAUGAAAGAUUUUGUGAUAUAAAUCAAUUUCUUUUUGUUAUUUUGUGGUGCCUUUUAAUUUUACUAAUAAAUCAAUAGGCAAUGAUCCAAUUCAAUUUUUUAUUUUUUUAAAAUAAAUUAACUAGUGAUACCAUGGUAACAGUAAUCAUAGACACUAAUAAAAUAUCAAUAACUACUAAUACUAUGGUGUCAUAAUAUCGGUGAUACUGUAGUAAUAGUAAUCACUGACACCACUUACAAGUGUCACUAUUUUUCUGACUCCCAGAUUACUGACACAAUUAACAAGUGUCAGUAAAAGUAAUUUCUGACACUAUUCUAAAGUCAGUAAAGACCAUUUUUCUAGUAGUGAACAUAAGAUAUAAUUAACGAACAGGAUUCCGAUAAAUUAUUAGAAAAAGGUUUCGAGCAAAUUAAACGGAAAAAAAUUAUAUAAUGAAGGUUUAAAUUCAAAAUUAAAUAAUAGUUUAUAUAUUUACACAGAUGAAACAAAAUUAUUAGUAGUAAAUAGAGAAAAAUUAACUUUAAUUAGUCCAGUAGGAAGAGAUUAUCUUAGAAAGCAGAAUUAUACAAACAUAUACACAUGGGAAUAAUAAUCAUAGGCAUACUCAGUCAAGCUAGAGAGGGACUAGACACAAAAGCACAUUUAUAUUUAUAUGAUAGUAGAUUUUAUGAUCACGAGCAAGCCCAAAUAGCUAGUGCAGAAGUAGAUUUAAAAAAUAAAGUAGCAGUAGUAGGAUGCAUACCCAAUAUAGAUAUAGACAUAAAUGAAUUUGGUAAACAUAUUAAAUUAAGUGUACAAACUAAAGGAUAUAAAAUGAAUACAAAAUAUAAAAACCUUAGAAUUAAAACAUUUUUUUCUAGGAAAAUUAUACAAUAAAUAUCAUAAGAAAUUAAGAUUUGAAAGUAAAAUAUUGUAGAUUGUUUUAAAAGUCAGUACAUCAAAAUUAUAGUACCUAAAAAAUUAACGUACCUAAAAAAUUAACCAGUAGCAAAUUAAAUGGUUUAGAAUGGAUAUUACCUAAAUUAAAACAAGAUGGAAUGCUAGAAGUACCAGAGACUAGUUAUACUUAUAUGAAUAGACAAAAUCAAGUUACACAAAGAUUUAGUAAUUAUAGAUAGAGAAGUAAUCUAGAAUUAUAAGAAAAUGAAGAAGAGAUAGAAAUUAAUAUGGCAAUAAUAGACAAUUUAGACAUAGAUAAACAAAAAACAUUAAUUAGUAAUAGAGAUAAAAUUAUAGACUUAAUAUUUAGUGAACCUAAAAAAUAUUUAGAUGAAGAAUUAUUUGAAGAACUAUGUAAUAAUGAUGAAUUAACAGACAAAGAUAUAGACAGAGAAUUAAUAAAAAAAAUUUAGAUUUUAAAAAUUUAGAAAUAGAUGAAAUUUAUUACUUAGAACAUGCAGAUGAAAUAUUAGUAGGAGAAGAAGACAAAAAACCAAAAGUAGGAAAAAGUAGCCAUAAACCGGUAUUAGAACCUAUAGUAGAACCAUCCAAUGUAGAAACUUACUUAGACAAACGAGGAAUCCCAGAAACUAAUGAAAAAUACACAGAAGCCGAAAGAGUAUUUAAAACUAAAACAAAAUUAGAAAAUUGGAAAACUAUGCCACAAGCUAGAGAUUUAUUAGUACUAGAAUUAGAAGACCAUAAACCUAGUCAAUGGAAACAAGUAUUUAACCCGUGGAAAUGUAAUUUACUUAGACAUUCUAUGGAAGCAUUAGCAAUAAUAAUAGACCCAAAUUAUAAAUUAAUAUAUUUAGAAAGUACUUUAGGAAGUAGAGAAAGACAAAUAUAUUUAGGAUGGAGAGAAUGGAUGAAGAAAAAAAAUUAGAAGAAUUAGACAAUUUUGAUACAAAUAUUACAGUAAUUAGUUUGAUUGAUUUAAUGAAAAAAAUAGUACUAGGAGUAGAUGAAAAAGACGAUGUAAUUAAACAGAUUAAAGAUAUUAGAAAUUUAUAACAAUUAAAAAUUUGUGACUUAAGAUAUUUUGAUGAAUAUGCUAAUUAUUUUUAUAAAUAUUGGAGUGAAAGAGGUAGACCAUUUGAUGAAGACUUAUUAUUAAAAUUCGUAGACAAAUUACCAGGCAAGAUAGGAGAAAAAUUACACAACGAAUUAAUUAAUUGGUUUAAAACUAAACAAACACAAAGAAUUAAUUAUUAUGCUAUAUGAUUACCAGUAAUAGAAUACGUUAGAGGUAAAAUUAGAGAAUAUUGUGAAGAAGAAAAACAUAGACACCAGUUAAAAUUACGAUUUAGAAAAAUGUAUAUAGAUAUGAUAGAAGUACCAAUGUUAGGAUGUAAUUAUCCUAAUUACUGUAAACAUAAGAAAUAGAGAAAGCAUAGGAAGAAAUAUAGUCAAAAUAAGUCACCUUAUAGACAUAAUAGUAUAAAAUUUUAUAAAAAGAAAUUCUUUAAAUAUCAUAAUAAUAAACAAAAAGUCAAGACGGCAUUCAAAAAAGGUAAACGUAUAUACAAAAGGAAUAAACUUGUAAAUGUUCUUUAUGUGGAAAAGGACACAUUAAACAAAAUUGCCUAGAAAACAAAAAAGUUAAUCAAUUAGAAUUAGAUAAUUAUAAUAUAGAAGAAGAAAUUUUAGAUAUAGAAGAAAUUCUUAAUAUAGAUCAAUUAUCCGAUAGCGACAGUAGAUGUAUAGUCAGUAAUAGUGAAUCUGACACUAGUAGUAAUUCAAGCUUAGAAUUAGAAUCACACAUAGAACCAGAAAUAGACAUUAAUGUUCUAGAAACUUUUACUUCAUUCUUUGGUAAAAAUUCUACAAAUUGUAAUAAAAAAUUUGAAUUAGGAUAUAGAAACACAGACACAGGAAAAAUCUUUUGUAAUAGUUGUAAAGAUAAAUAACCUAUAGAAGAUGAAACAAUAGAAAUAAAUAGAGUAGACAUCGAAUUAAUAAAUAGAGAUGUAGAAUUAUUGUUUAAAAAAGAAAUUGUUUAUACUAAAGCACACAAGCGCAAAUAAAUGUAUAAUACAUGAUAGCUUGGUACCCAAAGAAAAUAGAAACAAACUUAGAAACCCUGUAAACAUUAGACAAUUUAAUUGAGAAUUAAUGCAAAUUACAUAAUGUAUAAAUAACAUACCAAUAAGAAUAAAUGGUGAAACACAUGUUUUGCCACAAACAUUUAUUUCAAACCAAAAAGUAGAAUAUAAAUUUAUUUUAGGAUUAAAUUUUAUAUUAGGAAAUAAUGGUAGUAUACUAAUAACUCCAAAUGGAGUAAAUUUCUUUAAAAAGUCAACAUUCAUUCAACCUAAAUAUGAAACACAUAUCUUACCAUAUGAAAAGAAAACUUUAGUAGUAUAAAAAGAAUUAGACAUAGAAUUUUUUUAUUCUUUAUUAGAAGAAGAAAAAGAUGUAGCCAGCCGUAGUGGACUAGAAUUAAACAAUGAUGAAGUAGAAACCUUAGACAAUGAGGAAAUAGACAACUAUUUAGAAGACAUAUUAAAUGUAGAAAAAGAAGUAGAGUGUUUAGAAUGUCAAAAAUGGCCGGAAGAAAUUAGAAAAAAUGUAGAAGAAUUAGAAAAGUUAGAAAUAAUAGGAAACAACCCAAUUAGAAAAGAUAAUAAAGAAAUAUAUAAAUUAGAAAUCAUUAAUUCAGAUAUAACAGUAAAAUCACAAGAUUUAGCUUAUAGUUUGGAAGAUAGAAAAGAGUUUAAAAUGCAUAUAGAGGAAUUAUUAGAAUUAAAAGUUAUUAGAAGUAGUACCAAUAGACAUAGGAGCCCUGCAUUUAUUGUAAAUAACCAUAGUGAACAAAAACGAGGAAGAAGUAGAAUGGUAAUAAACUAUAAAAGAUUAAAUGAUAAUACUUCAGACAAUAGUUAUAAAAUACCUAAUAAAGAUGAGCUAGUAAAUUGUAUACAGAAUGCUAAAUAUUUUUCUAAAUUUGAUUGUAAAAGUUAAAGAUGGCCAAUGGGCCGAGCGGCAUGUGGCACGGCACAGGCACGUGGGCCGUGCCGAGCGGCAUGUGGCACGGCACAGGCACGUGGGCCGUGCCGAGCGGCAUGUGGCACGGCACAGGCACGUGGGCCGUGCCGAGCGGCAUGUGGCACGGCACAGGCACGUGGGCCGUGCCGAGCGGCAUGUGGCACGGCACAGGCACGUGGGCCGUUGGUGGGCUAGCAUGUGGCCCGUGAGCCAUUAAUAGCACGUGGGCCAAAAUAUAUCUAAGUAAAUUUUUUUAACAAAAAGUAAAUAUAAAAUGUUAUGAAAUUAAAGUAAAAUAUCUUGAAAUUAAAUGUUUUAAUAUAUUUUUUAGCAUAGACUCUGCUGUACCGUACAUCCGCCUUGGCCGUACAGCAGACUUAUGUUGGUUAUUUAUUUUUAUUUUUGAAAAAAUGGCUUUUUUAUUUGCCAUUGUCAGUGUUGUGUACAGAAAUUGUGAUUUAUUAGGGAAUGAAAGUAAUUAGAUAUUGACAUUGAACAAGUGUCAACAGGGAGGUCAUCAAAGGCUGAAUUCUUUUCACAAGAUUGUCACUAUCAUUUUGUCAUUUUUAAGUACAAAUGGUGAGAUCGAGUUUUCAUGACUAGACUUGCUGUUUAGGCGCUGAUUAGGAACCCCCAAUUGAGAUCAAAAUGGGUAAGUGGUGUUAUGCGCCUGAGCUCUACGGUGGUUGUUGAUGGUUUUGCUGUAAGGCAGAAGUAGCUUGAAUAAAGCACGCCAGACACGUGGACUUUUUUAAGCACGAAAAAAAAAAAGUUGGUGGGCUUUUUUCGGGCUCAACUAAAAAAAGGUAGGCACGACACAGCCCAUUGACCAUAGUUAGUAAAAGUGGAUUUUGACAAAUAAGAGUCCACGAAGAAUCUGUUCAAUUGACAACUUUUAAUUGUUCAGAAGGACAUUUUGAGUGGUUAGUUAUACCGUUUGGACUUAAAAACGCUCCACAAGUAUUUCAAGUUAGAAUGGAUAGAAUAUUAAAACCUUAUUCAAAAUUUUGUAUAGUUUACAUAGAUGAUAUUUUAGUGUUUAACCAGAAUAAAUUUAUGCAUAUUACCCAUUUAAAUAAAAUUUUAGAUUGCUUUAAAAAUAAUAAUAUAGUUUUCUAAAAAGAAAAUAGAAUUAUUAAAACAAAAAAUAUAUUUUUUAGGAUUAACGAUAGACAGAGGAACAAUAGAAUUACAACCACACAUAGUCAGCAAAAUAUUAGAAUUUCCAGACAAAAUAGAAGAUACAAAAGAAUUACAAAAAUUUUUAGGACUAUUAAAUUAUAGUAGAAAAUUUAUGCCAAAUCUCAUUACAUUAAUAAGACCCUUAUAUAAUAAAUUCAGUAAAAAUGGACAAAAAUAUUUUAAUAGUGAAGAUAUAAAAUUAAUUCAAAAACUUAAAGAAAUAGUUAAAAAUCUCAAACCCUUAGCAUUACCAAUAGACGGUUAUUAUAAAAUCAUAUAGACAGAUGCCAGUAGUUUAGGAUGGGCAGGAAUAUUAAUACAAAAACCUAAUAAAGAUAGCUCUAAAGAUAAGGAAGAAAUAAAGAUGUAUACUAGCGGAAAAUUUACAAAACAGAAGGUAGAAAAUCUAGCACAAAAUUAGAAAUUUUAUGAAUAAUAAAUUCUUUAAAUUCAUUUCAUUUGUAUAUACAAAAUGAUAAAUUUACAAUUAGAACUUAUUGCAAUAAUAUUAUAGAAUUCUAUAAAAAGUACAAAAGAAAAACUUUGAAAAGAAAAAUUCUUUUAUUAGUAAGAGAUGGAUAUAUUUUUUAGAAGUAAUAACAGGUAAAUGAUACAAAGCAAAAUUUGAACAUAUAGUAGGUAAAGAUAAUACAUUAGCAGACAUUCUUUUAUGACUAAUAAAUCAAUGAUUAUUUUGUAGGAAUGGACCGAUAUAUGAAUUUCGGUCCAAUCAAGCUUAGACAAUUCCCAUCAGGAACAAAUUUAAGUUUUAAAAGUAAAUUUCAGUUAUCAGAUAGUCAACAAUGCAUAUUAGAUAAUUUAUGGUGUGCUAAUAGCCCACAAGAUAAACUAAAAGUAGCCAAUGCACUCAUGCAUUAUUUUAGACAAAUUAAUGAACGCGUAAACAGUAAUCAUUUGCAUUUUUCGUAUUAGUUAGCGGUAGACAACUAGGAAUUUAUAGUCAGUGGAGAGAGGUAGUUGAUUUGAAGAUCAAUUAUCCUGAUCCAUAUGCUAAAGGUUUUUACACAUUUCAUGAAGCCAUAGAAUAUGCUAGACGUGAAAUAGGACCGAAUUAUCAUGUUAGUCAGUUGAUAAAUCCUUUAAACAAUGCAUCAACAACUUCAUCUAGACAGUCAAAUAAUCCCUUAGAUAGUGCAUCAAUAGCCUCAUCAUCAUCAUCAUCCAUACAAUUUUGUAAUCAUUGUGAAGUCAUGGCACGAACAAUUAAAAAGCUUAAUGAGACUAGAUAUCAUUUAGACAAUAUAUUAGAAGGAUGUAGACAAAAAAUACUUGCAUUGGAAAAUGCUAAAGAAGAAUUAAUUAGACAAAAUAUUAUAUUACAAAAUAAAUAUCAAAUUUUGUUAGUAGACCAUCAAAAAACCCAAAGCACCCAUAAAACCCAAAAAAUGCUUACACUAAAACAACCAUUAAAUAAAUUAUUCGAUCAUACCCCAGCCAGAAUAAAAUACAACAACUUUCAUUUUUUCUUGGUGAUGCAGUAGACACAGUAAAAGAAAAAGUUAUAGAAAACCUGUGUACGUAUUUGAUUACUUUUGCCAAUCAAUUGUUUGAUAGCCAGUUAAAUUUCUUACUUGAAUUUGGACCCAGCUGGUCAGAAUUAAAUAACAUUAUUGCACUUAGACAUAAUUUUCCUAUAAUUUCUUUUGAUUACUCCCUAGCCAAAACCAUAGACAAUGAAGACAUCUUGUACAAAGCCCUUAGCUUUGAAAUGAUACGAACCAUUUAUAUUUUUAGCCAAGACAGGUUUAAAUUCUUUCCACCAACCUUAAACAGAGCCUUAGCCAUUAUAAGCAAAGCACCAUUAGUAAUCAAUUUUAAUUCUACACCACCCAGACCUCAAAUAAUUAAUAAAACCAAAACCAAUGUCAUAUUACUAGCCUACCAUGUCAUUUUUAUUUGCGAAGGAGCCAAGAAGUACAGACGAAGAUUUUAUCAAGACAGGCCCAAUUUCUCUGCAAAUGAUUUAUAUCGAAGAACUCAUGAAAUGACAUCCUUCUAUGAAUGGUUACAUACUCAUGACAGGAUCAUUGCUCAAGCAGAACACUACACAAUCAUCGCCCAAAAGCAUGUUGUCUGUGAGUAGUUACUCAUUCCUUCACUACAAAUCAAAGUUGAUAAUCUACAGAAACGUGAAGAAUACUUGGAGGCGCUAGAUGAAAUAAAUGACAUGUCAUUAUUGGGACAUGAAUCUGAAGCUAUGAGUCAUCAAUCUUUGGAUGAGGAUAUAGUUGAAGCCGUUGAUGAAAUGAUGGAGCGAUAGGAGACACCAUUAAAAACAAAGUAGUCAGCAGUAGCCAAAGUCAGUGUAAAGUCAAAAUAGCCAGAGUCACGUGAUUUUAUAGAUAACCCUUACUCACUACUCGAUAAAGGAAAAACUGUAAAAACACCUUUUUCAUUUUGUCUUUUCUUACCGACAGUGAGUCAUCACUAAAAAUAGUAGCCAGUUACUAUUUGUAGACAGUGAGUCACUAUAAAAGUACUAGUUAGCCAGUUUGUACUUUUUAAAUUAAUCGUUGGCUUUUCGCCACAUGUAAAGAGUCAUUUUCUGCUUUUGUCUUUUGUAAUCAAAAUCAAUAAUAGUCCAAAAGUCUAGAGUUGUAUAUAAAGACUUUCAAGUCUAUGUAAAGGUAGAGUCGGAAAAAAGAGUCGUGAAUACGCUAACAAGCAAGCAUUCAACUUGUACUCAAAAUCAAUAUCAAUAAAAUUUUCUUUUUUAAACACUUUGCAAUUUUUUUAGACAGCAACUAGCGAGCAAGCAAGUAAGUAGUUUUACUCUUUACUUUUAUUUAACUUUCGGGUUCAAAAGUCUAGCCUAGUUAACAAAAGUAGAAAUUAUAUUUAAAGCAUUAACAAAAGGUUGUCCUUGUUAUCAUUCAGGAGCAAAGAAUUUCUGGAGGGAAAGUUUUUAAUGAAAAUUAAGGUUUUUAUUUUUGAAAAAAAUAAUAAGAACUUAGUAAAAGUUUUUGCUGAUUUUCUAAAAGUUUCUUUUUAAACACUGUCUCCGUUGGCCCGUUUAGUCGUUAAUGUGUUGAGAAUGCAUUUUUGGGUGUUAGUCAGGAGUUGAAAGUGUGUUUGAUAUGCAUGUUUUCAGAAGCAGUUUAAAUAAACUUUGAAAGGCCAGUUUUUGGCAAAGCAGCUUCCGCAAUUUUCAUAAAACUUUUUUGAGAUUACUCUGUAUAUAGGUGGGAAACCAAAGAGACGAAAAGAGAAAAACGGACGCUAGGUUCCGACUAGGAGAAAGCUGUACGUGACUUGUUAUACCAGUAGUGAAAACAAAUCUAAUUCUCAUUCGAGUUGCCCAUCAGAAUAAAUAUCGCUGGUUCCCAGUGGGUGGAUGGGUCAUGAGUGUGUCGGUUAGGAGCGGAACAAACCAAUCUUAACUGGAGGGGCUAAAGAAUUUUUUCAAACUUAUAAAAUAAGUAUUUUAUUAAUAUAUAUUUACUUCAAUAAAAAAUAUUAAAUAUUGAUUUUUUUUUAAAGGGCCCAUGUAAUCCCUUAAUAGAUCCGCCCCUGGUGUUGGUGGUUGGACGGUACAGAAUAGACCCAAGAAGAAUGCAGGGUUGACUUCUGUCCCUUGAAUAAAUUUUUUGAAUCGAGCUCUUAUUUUAUCAUUGAAAUACUCUGCAAGUGAAAAAAAUCCUGCAGUCUCCUUUCCAAAUCAUUCCGCAUUGCAUUCUUCAUUGUCGGCGAUGAGUGUUAGCGGGAACUGGUGUUCUGUUCUUUUCUUUCUGAUUUUCUCUACGCCAUUUUCUUGCUUGGUUGAUGCCCAAAGGUUUGAUUAUCCGACAGCGAACCUCUCUACUUCAUGGACCAACCACCCGUCAGCUUCUCACUCGGUAGCUUUCAGUGACGGAUCAGCGGUGACAGCCAUCCUUCUUAGGGGAACCCUUGGCCCCAGAUAUGCAUGUGGCUUCUUCUGCAAUGGCACCUGUGACUCUUAUCUAUUUGCUGUUUUCAUAGUUCAGACCAAUAGUGUCUCCAAUAUCGUUUCUCCAGCUUUCGGAUUUCCACAUGUAGUCUGGUCUGCUAAUCGUAACAAUCCUGUUCGAAUAAACGCAACCUUAGAACUCACUUCAGAUGGGAACUUGGUCUUGCAAGAUGCUGACGGAGCUAUUGCUUGGUCGACGAAUACCAGUGGUAAAUCUGUUGUGGGCUUAAACUUGACAGACAUGGGCAACCUCGUACUCUUCGACAAGAAUAAAGCAGCCGUUUGGCAAUCUUUCGAUCAUCCAACGGACUCGCUGGUUCCUGGCCAAAAAUUGUUGGAAGGGAAGAAACUUACAGCUAGUGUUUCAACCACGAAUUGGACGGAUGGAGGUUUGCUUUCACUUUCUGUCACUAACGAAGGAUUAUUUGCUUUCAUAGAGUCUAAUAAUACUUCAGUACCGUAUUAUAAAUUACUCACAGCCUCAAAAACAAGUAAGGAACCAAGCCAUGCUAGAUAUCUGAAUCGAAGCUUAGCUUUGUUCAUAAAUACCUCCGAACCAAGGGAACCAGAUGGGGAAGUUUUUCUUCAUCCAGCAUUAUUAUUCCCGGGACAGUACAUGAGAUUGUGGCCUGAUGGACAUUUAAGAGUUUACGAGUGGCAACAAUAUAAUGGGUGGACAGUAGUGGGAGAUCUAUUGACAGGUAUUUUUGGGGAAUGCGGUUAUCCUCUGGUUUGUGGCAAGUAUAGCAUCUGCUCUGGGGGGCAAUGCAGUUGUCCUGCAACCUAUUUCAAGCCAUUAAAUGAAAGACAGCCUGCCCUUGGGUGCUCCCAGAUUACUCCCUUAUCGUGUGAAGCUUCGCAAGAUCAUAGUUUUGUUGAACUCAAUGAUGUCACUUACUUCGCGUUUAGCUCAUUUAGCUCAGACCUUACGAAUACAGAUCCGGAGACAUGCAAACAAGCCUGUUUAAAUAAUUGCUCUUGCAAAGCUGCUCUUUUUCAGCGUGGUUUGAACUCUUCUGCUGGAGAUUGCUACUUACCAUCUGAAAUCUUUUCAAUGAUGAAUAAUGAGAAGGAAAGGACUCAUUAUAACUCAACUGCUUACAUUAAGGUUCAAAACUUGCCAGUGCCAGGUGCAAGUCCUGGAGGAAAGGAGACGAGCCACAGAAAAAGAAUAAUGGGGUUCAUCCUUGGAUCUUUCUUUGGUUUAUUAGUUCUAAUUGGUAUCUUGAUCUUUUUCUUUGGGAAGAAAAAGGGGGCUGAUGAAAUUGAGGAAGAUUGUUUAGAUCAAGUGCCAGGACUACCCAAAAGAUUCUCAUUUGAAGAGUUGAAAGUCAUGACAGACAAUUUCAGAAAGAUACUGGGUAAGGGGGGCUUUGGCUCAGUCUUUGAGGGGGCACAAACUGAUGGUACAAAAGUUGCAGUGAAACGUCUCGAAGGAAUUGGUGAAAUCAAUAAAUCUUUCUUAGCAGAGGUGAAGACAAUUGGAAGCAUUCACCAUCUGAACUUGUUGAGGUUGAUAGGGUUUUGUGCUGAGAAAUCUCAAAACCUUCUUGUUUAUGAAUACAUGCCGAAUGGAUCUCUAGAUAGGUGGCUUUUCCAGAGAUCAGAUGAGUUUAUGCUUGACUGGCAGCAAAGAAAGAAGAUCAUCCUUGAUAUUGCCAAGGGACUAACCUAUCUCCAUGAAGAUUGCAGGCAGAAGAUACUCCACUUGGAUAUCAAGCCCCAAAAUAUUCUGCUAGAUGACAACUUCAAUGCCAAAGUUGCUGAUUUUGGUUUGUCGAAAUUGAUUGACCGGGACCAGAGCCAAGUUGUGACAACCAUGAGAGGAACUCCAGGCUAUUUGGCUCCUGAAUGGCUUAGCUCAGUAAUUACAGAAAAAGUAGAUAUCUAUAGCUUUGGAGUUGUGAUGUUGGAGAUAUUGUGUGGCCGGAAAGUUUUUGACCGCUCUCAGCCUGAGGAGGAAGACAUGUAUUUGCUAAGCAUAUUCAAUAAGAAGGCAGAGGAGGACAAAUUGUCUGAUCUGGUAGAUAGACACAGUAACGAUAUGCAAUCAAAUGAAGAAGAAGUAGUGAAUAUGAUGAAGGUAGCUGCAUGGUGUCUGGAAAGUGAUUUUGUAAAGAGACCUUCCAUGUCAAUGGUAGUUAAGGUUUUGGAGGAUGUUACAGAGUUUGAGCAUAACCUCCAUUAUAACUUGGUUCAUCUACCAACUACAGCAGCAUUAACAAACGUUGAUCGUAGAGAAGAAAAUGAUAAACCCAUUACUCAAUUGUUGCCUUCAGUUUUGUCAGGGCCAAGAUGACAGACGGCUAGCAGGUAUACAUACCAUUUUUCCAUUCUUGAUUAGCAUUAAUAAUGUUUACCAACAACUUUUGUUUUUGGACUUGAAAAAGAAAUCCAAUUGGGCUUUACCAGCAACUUUCAGCAUCUUUCUUGAAAAAAAUAAAAAACAAUUGGCCCCAAAUUUUUGUAGGGUUAUUCGUGGAUACAAACCGGAAUAAAAGAAACUUUAAAUCUUUGAUAAGAAUGUAAGUUUCAUUAUCGAUUUAUUAUGCAAAUUUAAAUUCGUGGACCAAUAACUGCAGGAACCUUCUAACGUACGUAUGUGCUAAUUCAGAAAUUCGUGGCAAGUCUCAGUAGUAAUUAAUCUCAAAUUUGCAGUAUCUGGCGAAUCUUAUCAUUGACUGAUCUUUGGCCCUGAUCUUUUCUGCUUCUCAAGCAGAUGAGUGGCAGAAACAAGAAGAGGGUGCCUACAACAUUAAACUUUUGCCAAGCAAAAUUAAGCGAAGAAGUCCAAUCUUAUGGGAAGUUAACUCAAGCUUUUACUAGUGGAUCUUCUGUAAGAUAAAUACUUCCGAAAAAUGGAUGUUCUACAGUGAUUUUGUCGUCUACAUUUGUUGUUUAGACGCUGAGAAUGUCUGUCUUUAGAUAUUGCGAAUGUAAGUGGGGGAGGCAAAGCAAGCUGCAUUACAUUGAACGCUUUAUUUUGAUUUGUUCAAUGCUUCAAUAUAUAUAUAUAUAUAAUAGGUCUAAAAUGUUGCUUAAUAAAGAGCAUUAAAUAGUAUCUUUAUUAUAAUAUUUACCUACUGGUUAUUUGUUAGUGAAACAAGGAGUUGGGGAAAUUUUGUUUUUUGGAAACAAAGAGAUCCCACUAUAAUGAAGAGUAUGCCAAAACUUAAGCUCUUGGGUCGAGUGGUAACAGAGCAAUUUUAGUCUCACUUUUUAUGACCUCUCUUGUUGUGUUAGGAGGGUAUGGCUAAUUUUUGGAUGAAUAUAAUUAUCAUGAGGACAUAUUGCAGAGGUUGAAUAUAAUCGUCAUGAAGACAUAUUGCACCUAAGAUUAAGAAUAUAAUGUAGGAAGCUUUUGCAAAGACUGUCCAUAGCUUAUAUACUGCACCCUGAGUCCUUAAAUAAUCAAAUCUCUAGUUAAACGCUCGUAAAAGUUUGACUUCUAUGUGGCAAGGCUUCAAGUGUAUUCUAUCUCACCCUUUUCUUUGAUGUGGGAUCUCUCUUUGAUUAAACUUAUUGCCAUUUUCAAGGUUUUAUAAUUUCUCCAAUAUAAAACUUUUGUAUUUUGUUGUGAUCAUAUAUCACUUCAUAUUCCAGUUGCGAAGGAGACAGAGUUUGAGUUUUGGGGAUUUCUUUUUGUUAUUCUUGCUGCUGUCAUGUCUGGAUUUCGUUGGUGCAUGACUCAAAUUCUUCUACAGGUAUGGUUUAGUUGUAUUCCUGAUAUACAUGGUUUAUGGAAUUUGUGUAACUUAAACCCAAUUUUUUUUUCCUACAUGACUUUAUUUUUUUGUUUGGAUUUCAAUACGAUGGUCCAUGGCGAAAUAAAAAUGGAUGUAAAGAAAGAAACUUACGGUAGGUACUUAUUCUUUUUCUUUUAUUUCAUUUGAAUUUUAGCCAAUCUCAACUGCUACUAGAUUUUAUCUACUGCCAUAAGUAUCUGCAAGCAUGCUUUGCACAUAUUAGAUUUUCAUGUACCGCUGUAAGCAUCUGCAAGUGUGUGUAACAUGUAUGUUCCUCAGAAUUUACUUUACAUAAUGAUGAUACAUAGAAAUACUGUUUAUUGGACCUUUUCUUAUGAGCUUGAGCUUUUGGAAUUAAUAGUCUUUUAAUAUGGUGUCAUUCUGCUUUUUUCUAAGCUAGCCAGCACUUAUUGAUGAACAAAUUUUGCUCUUGGUAAAAAGCUUGAGUCUCUGGUGAACAAACUUAUACAUUACAUUUCUUUCCUAGAUGCUUUGCCUUAGUUUUUAUACCAUUAUUUCUAAUCAAUCACUAAGAAGUGUUUUCUUUAUUUUUUGUUUUUAGGUCUUAAAAAUCCACUUACCUUGAUGAGCUAUGUGGCACCAAUUAUGGCGCUGGUGACUGCUCUUCUUUCUCUAUUGCUGGAUCCAUGGCAUGAAUUCAAAAGGAAUAAUUAUUUCAAUAACUCAUGGCAUGUCACUCGGAGUUUGUUGCUGAUGCUUUCCGGCGGAGCUUUGGCCUUUUUCAUGGUAAGAAUUGAUGUCGAACAAAAGGAUUGGGGGGAAGAUACAUUUACAUGCUUUUCGUGUUGCAUAUUGAGUAUGCUUGGUCUGAGUUUCAUGGUCUCCAAAAGAAAUUAAUACAUUUACAUGCUUUUCAUGUUGCAUAUUGAGUACACUUGAUCUGAGUUUCAUGGUCCCCAAAAGAACUAACUUGUUUCUCUUGUUACAGGUUUUGACGGAAUUUGUACUUGUCUCGGUAACAAGUGCUGUCACUGUUCAAAUUGCAGGUGUUGUCAAGGAGGCUGUUACCAUAUUGGUAAAACUUUUCUAGGGUAGUUCGGCUUUCUAGAUUAUUUUGGUAAAAUGUUGGCCAUUGUAUGUGCUUUAUUGUUUGUUCUAUCUUACUUUCUAGUCGUUACCUUGUGAAAUCCUUUAGUUACAAUACCGUUCUGUUUGAAACAUUAAAUAUUCAAACUCUCCUAUUAGAUAAGAUAAAUACCCUGUUUGUCAUGAGCUGCAAUUAUUCAUGAUUAUGGCUAUUGUCUUAAAAUAUUUUUUAUGGUCUGAGCCGUCUUUUGUAACUUUUAAUUGUGAUCUGUAAUUACAUUUAGAUUUUUGUUUGAGGAUGUUUAAUGCAUCUAUAGAUGUAAGAAUCACGCUUUGAUUGUUUUACUAGUUUUAUUGUCACAGUGUAGGCUGUGUAGCUCUCUCCUGCAUAGACGGACACUGUGCUUUGAUUGUUUUACUAGUUUUAUUGUCGCAAUGUAGCUGUCUCCUGCAUAGACAGACACCGUAUAGAAUUAAACCCUAGUCUUAUGUUUUCUUAUUGUGUUUUUUCAUUUGGUUAGUUAUUUUAUUAAUAAUUACAAAUAUAAAAAACAUGAAUGGCUACACAGUAUAAGGACUCUCAAAGGAUUCUACUUCAAUAUGUAAAUGUACAGGUUGCAGUGUUUUACUUCCAUGAUGAGUUCAGUUGGCUGAAGGGGUUUGGUCUCUUCACAAUCCUGGUUGGUGUCAGUUUAUUCAAUUGGUACAAGUAAGUCAUUAGUUAUUGUAGUUUUGAACUAUUAUUAUAUGUUUCUUCUCUUUUUCUUUUUUCCUUUUUUUCCUGUGUUAACUGAUUUUGUUGUUGUCUUUUUUUUUUCAACUAUUAUUUGGCUGUUAGAUUAUUGCUUAGUGUGUAGUGGCCAAAUGUGGAUUGUGUGAUGCAGAAUACAUAAGUAUCCAGUUCAUUCCUAAUAAUCUUAAAACUUCCUCUCAUCAAAGAGUCCAAUUAAACGGGACAAAAUGUAAUUGUAGAACUUUUGGACUGGACAAAUUUCCCAUGACUAGCCUUUGCUUUUGGCUGUUUGCAUGAGAAGGAUGUUCCUUUAACUUGCAUGUUUUCCAUGUUAAAUACCCUUCUAUAACAUUAAACACUAAAGCUUGGUUGAUGUCCAACAGAUGUUAUAUGUCAGAUUUGCGAACAUUCUGGUGGUGAGCUUUAAUCUUAUCUGUGAACGGUUAGCCUGCUGCACAAAAUUGGAUCAUUAUACAAAGGUUCCACAUUAUGUGCCCUAGUCAUUGAAGUUUGAUAAAAUUUAAGAAUAUGAUAAUGACAUUUCUCGAAAUUCAAGAAAGCUUCCCAAUGGUCAUUAUGUGUCAUUAUAAAUGGGAUCAACCAACUUAUAAUUGCCUUGUCCUGUUGCUAUCAGUUAGCAAUGAGAAUUGAUAUUUUACCGGCUCAUCCAGCUAAAUUUUGUCAGUCCUUUGCUCCUCACUUACCAAAUUUGACAUGUAUUGAUUGCAUUUGUUUGUGGAUCUCUUGAAUAAUAUUUUGGUUUUUGAUGUUUCUUCCUGACAUAUUAAAAAUAUUGGAAUUUUAAGAGUCUCUCUAGUCUCUGAGAUUAUGGAUCAGAAAAGCAUCUGUAUUCAACAUUAGUUGUGGAACAAUUUACGGGCAGAAUGAUAAAGCUCAACUUUAAGUUACCUAAUCUUAACGCCUGAUUUCUGCUGUGUGCUUCUUGUCAACUUUUUCCUAAUCUGGGUUUUGAUAUUGAUUGUUAAUCUUUUUUAUCCUUUUUCAGAUACCAAAAGCUUCAGGCAGGUCAUGCAAAUGAAGAUGGCAUGCUGGGAUCACGUGAAACAAAUGCUUCUGCAAAAUAUGUUAUUCUAGAGGAGAUUGAUGAUCUAGAUGAGGGCACUUGAAGUUUCUAGUAAUCACAUGAUUUGAAUUUUGAUAAUCUUGUGUAAGCCUCUUGCUGAACCUUCUCCCCUAAAAACAUUGGACAUCUAUGCAGUUUGGGGUGGAACCUUAGGUUGAUGCAAUGGUUUGAUUUGGUAUUUAUCAGUGGUCCAAGUUUGUGUAAUGAUCCAUUGAUUUACAUUUGAUUAUCAGGUUAUCAGCCAAAGAAAUCCGUGGCAUCAGUAGUAACUGGUCUCAAGUUUGCGGUACUUAGCAAAUCUUAUUUUUGGCUGAGCUUCGGCCUUGAUUUUUUCUGCGCCCUCAAGCAGGUCAGUGGCAGAAACGUACAGGGUGUGUACAAAAUCAGGGGUUUAGCAAAUACAUUUUGGCAAGCGGAAUUGAGUGAAGACUGAAGAAGCCCGUUCAUGUGGGAAGUUUACCUCAAGCUUUUUACUAGUGGGUCUUGUCUAAGAUACAUAUUUCCGAAAUGCAUACUCUACGGUCAUUUUGUCGGUCGUUGAUUUGUUGUUUAGUUUAGACAUUGAGAAUGCAAGUGGCGAAGCAAGCUGUAAUCGAUUGAACGCUUU
rnacentral:lncRNA from 1 species